rnacentral:rRNA from 1 species
UACGUAGGGGGCCAGCGUUGUCCGGAAUCAUUGGGCGUAAAGCGCGCGUAGGCGGCCAGACAAGUCCGGUGUGAAAGUCACAGGCUCAACCUGUGAAUGCCGCUGGAAACUGUCUGGCUAGAGUCCGGAAGGGGCGAGUGGAAUUCAUGGUGUAGCAGUGAAAUGCGUAGAGAUCAUGAGGAAGACCAGUGGCGAAGGCGGGUCUCUGGACAGUUCCUGACACUGAGACACGAAGGCCAGGGGAGCAAACGGG